GAGUUUGAUCAUGGCUCAGAACGAACGCUGGCGGCAUGCCUAACACAUGCAAGUCGAACGAGACCUUCGGGUCUAGUGGCGCACGGGUGCGUAACGCGUGGGAAGUCUGCCCUUGGGUUCGGAAUAACAGUUAGAAAUGACUGCGUAAUAACUGAAUAGAUGUCUUCGGACCAAAGAUUUAUCGCCCAGGGAUGGAGCCCGCGUCGGAUUAGACUAGUUGGUGAGGUAAAGGCUCACCAAGGCGACGAAUCCGUAGCUGGUCUGAGAGGAUGAUCAGCCACACUGGGACUGAGACACGGCCCAGACUCCUACGGGAGGCAGCAGUGGGGAAGU
rnacentral:rRNA from 1 species